UGUACACGAGCGGGAAACAAAAAGGAGGGGCCUUUAGUUCCUGUUGGCAUUACUAACCGGGACUAAAGGACCAUGGACCCCCUUUAGUUCUUGUUGGUAAUACCACCCGGGACCCUUUAGUCCCAAGUGAUGUUAUCAACCGGGACUAAAGGGGGAGUAUAAUUAUCCCGACCCUCCCCCUCCUCGCGACUUAGCCAAUUUC
rnacentral:lncRNA from 1 species